UGCCAGCUAAGGUAGGUUGAUGCUUGGCUGCUCUUUCUCAUUUCCUCAGUUCUCCUUUCACCGAUUUCAUUCGCUCUCCCUCAGAAACCUAUGGAGGGAAACCUUUGACACCUUCAGCAAUCACCGAUCAUCCAUUUGAUGAUGAUUAUGGGGCUUCAGUUCUUCAUUGGGGUAAGAUCUUUAUCCUUUUUAUAAGCAUCUAAUAUCAAUUUAACAAUCUAGGGUAUAGCUAUAAUUUUAUAGAAGUCCAUUAAUCCUUUUUUGUCCUAUGUUUUUUUUUUUUGGUAAUUCUUCUUAAUUAAUAAUCUGAAUUUCGAUUGAAAAAUCGAAGGUAAUUCUUCUUAAUUAAUUUUCUGAAUUUCGAUUGAAAAAUCGAACUAAUUCUUGAUGAAGAAGUGGUGAUUUCGCCCUUUUGAUAUUGACCUAAGAAAGGAAAAAAGAGGAGAGAACUGGCUUAGUUUUAAUCUGCCAAUGAAAGGAAAACUGCUACUGAAGAUACUUUAAAUGCUUACAAAGCUACUCAGCUCUUCAGUUUAUGUUAAGGGUGACAUUGAAAUUUGAGUUUACAAUAAAGGCAUCACUGGCGAAGUUGUGAGAAUGCCAAAAUUUUGCAUUGUGUUCACAAUGAUGGGGAUAAAAGGAAGGAUGUGGCUCCAAACCGUGCUGCUUCUUCAGGGAAAACUCCUCCUAUCCUUGCUGUGAUAAUACUUCUUGACUCGCAACUAUACUUGUUAUGAUGUGUGCUAUUUGGUUCUGCAGGAACAAAUUCAUCUUUGAAAACAUAACACUGAACAUAGUUCACACAAAGUUUUCGUUAGAACUGCAGCUCAUGACUACCCUUCUGCAUCAGGUUGGAUCCCCCCUAAAGAUAUAAUCAUGUUAAAUGUGGACGCUAAUAAUUUGGUCUCUGGAUCACAUGUUGGGUUGGGGGUGGUUUCAAAAAACGAGCUUGCAAUUGGGCAGUGUUGCUUGCUUCAGUUAAGAGGUUGCUAGAUAAUUUGCUCUAACAAGCAGAGGAGUCAAGACUCAAGAACCCUCGCGUAACCAUCUUGGAACUGUUGCUCUUCGAUAAAACAAUGAGGUAUGCUUGGAAAAACAAGAAAACUAUCUCAGCAUUGAUCUAAGCUUGUAACAUACUAUUCCGUAUUAACUUUGUGGAAGAAGUUAUAUGAUGACACUACAAGUGUGAUAUCAAGAAUUCCUUUUCAACUAAAAUAUUUGGUUUUGGUUAAUUGGAGUUCUGGCCUGACUCUUUCAGGUUAAUACUCUAAAGUAGCAACUGCAGCUCAUUGCAUCAAGCAUAUAGCGAUGACAAUUAUGACUUCAAAUGCAACAGGUUGCCUUUCUUUAUCUUGUCGUUCAGGCAAAACAAAAUGUGUGCUUCAAAAGAGUUCACUGAUAUGUAGUACGGAGUAAUAAUAUUGAGCUUCGUAGCUUUUUGGCUUAUUCUUUUACACAUUUUGAGAUUCAUUUUUUAUGUCGAGAAUUUUCUAGGCCCGGAAUUCUAUAUUCUUUGUAAAUUAUCUUCUUAUCAUGUGCUCUAUAUAGCUUGGUUUGAUUCUUGUCCAA